AAUAUUGGACAAUGGGGGCAACCCUGAUCCAGCCAUGCCGCGUGUGUGAAGAAGGUCUUCGGAUUGUAAAGCACUUUAAGUUGGGAGGAAGGGCUUUAGGCUAAUACCCUGAAGUUUUGACGUUACCAACAGAAUAAGCACCGGCUAACUAUGUGCCAGCAGCCGCGGUAAUACAGUGGGUGCAAGCGUUAAUUGGAUUUACUGGGCGUAAAGCGCGCGUAGGUGGCCAAUUAAGUCAAAUGUGAAAUCCCCGAGCUUAACCUGGGAACUGCUUUCAUAACUGCUGAGCUAGAGUACGGUAGAGGGUAGUGGAAUUUCCUGUGUAGCGGUGAAAUGCGUAGAUAUAGGAAGGAACACCAGUGGCGAAGGCGACUACCUGGACUGAUACUGACACUGAGGUGCGAAAGCGUGGGGAGCAAACAG
rnacentral:rRNA from 1 species